rnacentral:rRNA from 1 species
UACGUAGGGGGCUAGCGUUGUCCGGAUUUAUUGGGCGUAAAGAGCGUGUAGGCGGCCAGGUAGGUCUGCUGUGAAAACUCGAGGCUCAACCUCGAGAUGUCGGCGGAAACCAUCUGGCUAGAGUCCGGAAGAGAGAGUGGAAUUCCUGGUGUAGCGGUGAAAUGCGCAGAUAUCAGGAAGAACACCCGUGGCGAAGGCGGCUCUCUGGGACGGUACUGACGCUGAGACGCGAAAGCGUGGGGAGCGAACAGG